rnacentral:rRNA from 1 species
UUACGGCUGGGCUACACACGUGCUACAAUGGUCGGUACAGAGGGUUGCCAAGCCGCGAGGUGGAGCUAAUCUCACAAAACCGAUCGUAGUCCGGAUCGCAGUCUGCAACUCGACUGCGUGAAGUCGGAAUCGCUAGUAAUCGCGAAUCAGAAUGUCGCGGUGAAUACGUUCCCGGGCCUUGUACACACCGCCCGUCACACCAUGGGAGUGGGUUGCACCAGAAGUAGCUAGUCUAACCUUCGGGAGGACGGUUACCACGGUGUGAUUCAUGACUGGGGUGAAGUCGUAACAAGGUAGCCGUAGGGGAACCUGCGGUUGGAUCACCUCCUUA